rnacentral:rRNA from 1 species
AACGACUCUCGGCAACGGAUAUCUAGGCUCUCGCAUCGAUGAACAACGUAGCGAAAUGCGAUACCAGGUGUGAAUUGCAGAAUCCCGUGAACCAUCGAGUUUUUGAACGCAAGUUGCGCCCGAAGCCUCUGGCUUAGGGCANGUCUGCCUGGGCGUCACGC